GACGAACGCUGGCGGCGUGCUUAACACAUGCAAGUCGAACGGUGAACCUCUUCGGAGGGGAUCAGUGGCGAACGGGUGAGUAACAUGUGGGCAACCUGCCCCCGGCUCUGGGAUAACUCCAAGAAAUUGGGGCUAAUACCGGAUGUUCACCGCUUCCCGCAUGGGUGGUGGUGGAAAGGGUUUCCGGCUGGGGAUGGGCCCGCGGCCUAUCAGCUUGUUGGUGGGGUAGUGGCCUACCAAGGCGACGACGGGUAGCCGGCCUGAGAGGGUGACCGGCCACACUGGGACUGAGACACGGCCCAGACUCCUACGGGAGGCAGCAGUGGGGAAUAUUGCGCAAUGGGCGGAAGCCUGACGCAGCGACGCCGCGUGGGGGAUGACGGCCUUCGGGUUGUAAACCUCUUUCAGCAGGGACGAAGCGCAAGUGACGGUACCUGCAGAAGAAGCACCGGCCAACUACGUG
rnacentral:rRNA from 1 species